GAGACUCGUAAGAACAGCAACGAUCGUGCGGAUCAGACGAAGCAGAGAGCGAGGAUUCCUGCACUGAAAGAGACAUCGAAGUGUUGAAAUCAGAGAUAUACAAUUUCUAGGUUUUAAUUGUAUUUGUGAUUGAUUAGAGAGUUGCUUACAUUACCUUCCUCUGACGUCGGGGUAGUCACUCAGCUUCGGUGGUUUCUUCGGCGUCAUCUGUUAGCUCUGCGAGGUUACAAGUUUGACGGUGAGAAGAAAGAAUAUGACUUCCUCUAAGCCGGAGUCUACAGCAUUCCAUUUCCAGCAGGUGACUUAUAUUUUUUUAAAUUUAAAAGUGAUUUGUCAAAGCUUUAGUUUAGAGAGUUAUGAUUCGGUUGAGCUUUUGUGGUUUGAGCUGGACAUCCUAGGUCUAUGAGUUCUAUUAAAGUUUAAAACUACAUGAAAUUUGUUGCAC